AAAUUGAAGAGUUUGAUCAUGGCUCAGAUUGAACGCUGGCGGCAGGCCUAACACAUGCAAGUCGAGCGGUAGCACAGAGAGCUUGCUCUCGGGUGACGAGCGGCGGACGGGUGAGUAAUGUCUGGGAAACUGCCUGAUGGAGGGGGAUAACUACUGGAAACGGUAGCUAAUACCGCAUAACGUCGCAAGACCAAAGUGGGGGACCUUCGGGCCUCAUGCCAUCAGAUGUGCCCAGAUGGGAUUAGCUAGUAGGUGGGGUAACGGCUCACCUAGGCGACGAUCCCUAGCUGGUCUGAGAGGAUGACCAGCCACACUGGAACUGAGACACGGUCCAGACUCCUACGGGAGGCAGCAGUGGGGAAUAUUGCACAAUGGGCGCAAGCCUGAUGCAGCCAUGCCGCGUGUGUGAAGAAGGCCUUCGGGUUGUAAAGCACUUUCAGCGGGGAGGAAGGCGGUGAGGUUAAUAACCUCACCGAUUGACGUUACCCGCAGAAGAAGCACCGGCUAACUCCGUGCCAGCAGCCGCGGUAAUACGGAGGGUGCAAGCGUUAAUCGGAAUUACUGGGCGUAAAGCGCACGCAGGCGGUCUGUCAAGUCGGA
rnacentral:rRNA from 1 species